CGUUAACGCUGGCGGCGUGCUUAACACAUGCAAGUCGAACGGAAAGGCCCUGCUUUUGUGGGGUGCUCGAGUGGCGAACGGGUGAGUAACACGUGAGUAACCUGCCCUUGACUUUGGGAUAACUUCAGGAAACUGGGGCUAAUACCGGAUAGGAGCUCCUGCUGCAUGGUGGGGGUUGGAAAGUUUCGGCGGUUGGGGAUGGACUCGCGGCCUAUCAGCUUGUUGGUGGGGUAGUGGCUUACCAAGGCUUUGACGGGUAGCCGGCCUGAGAGGGUGACCGGCCACAUUGGGACUGAGAUACGGCCCAGACUCCUACGGGAGGCAGCAGUGGGGAAUAUUGCACAAUGGGCCGAAGCCUGAUGCAGCAACGCCGCGUGCGGGAUGACGGUCUUCGGGUUGUAAACCGCUUUCGCCCUUGGAAGAAUCGUGAGUGACGGUAAUGGGUAAAGAAGCACCGGCUAACUACGUGCCAACAGCCGCGGUGAUACGUUGGGUGCGAGCGUUGUCCGGAUUUAUUGGGCGCUACGGGCUCGUAGGUGGUUGAUCGCGUCGGAAUUGUAAUUUUGGGGUUUAUCCCUGAGCGUGUUUUCUAUACCGGUUGACUUGAGGAAGGUAGGGGAGAAUUGGAUUUCCUGUGGAAGCGGUGGAAUGCGCAGUUAUCAGGAGGAACAACAGUGGCGAAGGCGGUUCUCUGGGCCUUUCCUGACGCUUGAGGAGGAAAAGCGUGGGGAGCGAACAGGCUUAGAAUACCCUGGUAGUCCACGCUGUAAACGGUGGGUACUAGGUGUGGGGUCCAUUCCACGGGUUCAGUGCCGUAGCUAACGCUUUAAGUACCCCGCCUGGGGAGUACGGCCGCAAGGCUAAAACUCAAAGGAAUUGACGGGGCCCCGCACAAGCGGCGGAGCAUGCGGAUUAAUUCGAUGCAACGCGUAGAACCUUACCUGGGUUUGACAUGGAUCGGGAGCGCUCAGAGAUGGGUGUGCCUCUUUUGGGGUCGGUUCACAGGUGGUGCAUGGCUGUCGUCAGCUCGUGUCGUGAGAUGUUGGGAUAAGUCCCGCAACGAGCGCAACCCUUGUUCACUGUUGCCAGCACGUUAUGGUGGGGACUCAGUGGAGACCGCCGGGGUCAACUCGGAGGAAGGUGGGGAAGACGUCAAGUCAUCAUGCCCCUUAUGUCCAGGGCUUCACGCAUGCUACAAUGGCUGGUACAGAGAGUGGCGAGCCUGUGAGGGUGAGCGAAUCUCGGAAAGCCGGUCUCAGUUCGGAUUGGGGUCUGCAACUCGACCUCAUGAAGUCGGAGUCGCUAGUAAUCGCAGAUCAGCCUCAAAGGGGUGGCUCCGUUCCCGGGGCU
rnacentral:rRNA from 1 species